rnacentral:rRNA from 1 species
GAUGAACGCUGGCGGCGUGCCUAAUACAUGCAAGUCGAGCGAACGGGCGAGAAGCUUGCUUCUCUGAUGUUAGCGGCGGACGGGUGAGUAACACGUGGAUAACCUACCUAUAAGACUGGGAUAACUUCGGGAAACCGUAGCUAAUACCGGAUAAUAUCUGAACCGCAUGGUUCAAAAGUGAAAGACGGUCUUGCUGUCACUUAUAGAUGGAUCCGCGCUGCAUUAGCUAGUUGGUAAGGUAACGGCUUACCAAGGCAACGAUGCAUAGCCGACCUGAGAGGGUGAUCGGCCACACUGGAACUGAGACACGGUCCAGACUCCUACGGGAGGCAGCAGUAGGGAAUCUUCCGCAAUGGGCGAAAGCCUGACGGAGCAACGCCGCGUGAGUGAUGAAGGUCUUCGGGUCGUAAAACUCUGUUAUUAGGGAAGAACAUAUGUGUAAGUAACUGUGCACAUCUUGACGGUACCUAAUCAGAAAGCCACGGCUAACUACGUG